rnacentral:siRNA from 1 species
UCUACUCCCUUCAAAGUGCUCUA